rnacentral:piRNA from 1 species
UGAGUGUUUAGAGCUGCCAGAUUUGU